rnacentral:rRNA from 1 species
UACGUAGGGUGCAAGCGUUGUUCGGAAUUACUGGGCGUAAAGGGCGCGUAGGCGGUGUGUCAAGUCAGGCGUGAAAGCCCCGGGCUCAACCUGGGAACAGCGCUUGAGACUGGCACGCUCGAGUUCGGGAGAGGAUGGUGGAAUUCCCAGUGUAGAGGUGAAAUUCGUAGAUAUUGGGAAGAACACCGAUGGCGAAGGCAGCCAUCUGGACCGACACUGACGCUGAGGCGCGAAAGCGUGGGGAGCAAACAGG